rnacentral:rRNA from 1 species
AACGAACGCUGGCGGCAUGCCUAACACAUGCAAGUCGAACGAGACCUUCGGGUCUAGUGGCGCACGGGUGCGUAACGCGUGGGAAUCUGCCCUUGGGUUCGGAAUAACAGUUGGAAACGACUGCUAAUACCGGAUAAUGACUUCGGUCCAAAGAUUUAUCGCCCAAGGAUGAGCCCGCGUAAGAUUAGCUAGUUGGUGGGGUAAAGGCCUACCAAGGCUACGAUCUUUAGCUGGUCGAGAGGAUGAUCAGCCACACUGGGACUGAGACACGGCCCAGACUCCUACGGGAGGCAGCAGUGGGGAAUAUUGGACAAUGGGCGAAAGCCUGAUCCAGCAAUGCCGCGUGAGUGAUGAAGGCCUUAGGGUUGUAAAGCUC